rnacentral:lncRNA from 1 species
AAUCUUGGGGGAUGAUUGAAGUCUGCUUGAUUGAAGCGGGGUCUGCAUAGUACACCUUUGCUGCAAUGUCAUCUCAGAACACCGGAGGAAUGAACACUUGAGAUGGAUAACAAAGUUGCUACCGUAUUAGCCUAUCUUGAGGGCAAUAGGUCCGUUGGAGAAGACUAUUCGUUACAGAGCAAUUUCGAGAAACCUUGCAACCCGGUAUGCCACGGAUGA